rnacentral:rRNA from 1 species
GUGCCAGCAGCCGCGGUAAUACGUAGGCUCCAAGCGUUGUUCGGAAUUACUGGGCGUAAAGCGAGUGUAGGCUGCUUGCCAAGUCGAUUGUGAAAUCUCCCGGCUCAACCGGGAGGGUGCGGUCGAAACUGACAAGCUGGAGUUCGGGAGGGGAGAGUGGAAUUCCUGGUGUAGCGGUGAAAUGCGUAGAUAUCAGGAGGAACACCGGUGGUGAAGACGGCUCUCUGGACCGAUACUGACGCUGAGACUCGAAAGCGUGGGGAGCAAACAGGAUUAGAUACCCUGGUAGUCCACGCCCUAAACGAUGCGUACUUGGUGUGGGCUCUUCACUGAGUCCGUGCCGGAGUAAACACGUUAAGUACGCCGCCUGGGGAGUACGGUCGCAAGGCUGAAACUUAAAUGAAUUGGCGGGG